GACAGAGGGUGCAAACGUUGCUCGGAAUCACUGGGCGUAAAGGGCGCGUAGGCGGGAAUGUAAGUCGGGCGUGAAAAUCCCCAGGCUCAACCUGGGAACUGCACUCGAAACUGCGUUUCUUGAGUAUCGGAGAGGAAAAGCGGAAUUCCUGGUGUAGAGGUGAAAAUUCGUAGAUAUCAGGAGGAACACCAGUGGCGAAGGCGGCUUUCUGGACGGUAACUGACGCUGAGG
rnacentral:rRNA from 1 species